AUGAACCGAACAAACACGGAUCUGUGUUCAGCGAUCCCGUUGAUGGAGGCAGCUCUGCUGUUCUCUGUGUUUCGGUUGAACGCUGGACAGUUCGACGACUUAAGGAGCCAUCAAUCUUGUGGAUGGUCUUUGCAAUCCGGUCGACAGAUCUCAGAUUAAAGGUUGGCGCUGGGUGUUCACUUGAGUCUUGAGCUCCCUUGUCCUUGACUUGGUGAGCUCGGCUGAAGAACUCGGUUGCUGACGGCGUCAUAUUCCUACUCUCUUUACCGAACUGGCCGUCGGCCACUGAGGUUAGGGAAUAACCAUGACCUGCCAACAUUC
rnacentral:sRNA from 1 species